CACGAACGCUGGCGGCAGGCUUAACACAUGCAAGUCGAGCGCCCCGCAAGGGGAGCGGCAGACGGGUAAGUAACGCGUGGGAAUCUACCCAUCUCUACGGAAUAACGCAUGGAAACGUGUGCUAAUGCCGUAUACGUCCUUCGGGAGAAAGAUUUAUCGGAGAUGGAUGAGCCCGCUUUGGAUUAGCUAGUUGGUGGGGUAAAGGCCUACCAAGGCGACGAUCCAUAGCUGGUCUGAGAGGAUGAUCAGCCACACUGGGGCUGAGACACGGCCCAGACUCCUACGGGAGGCAGCAGUGGGGAAUAUUGGACAAUGGGCGCAAGCCUGAUCCAGCCAUGCCGCGUGAGUGAUGAAGGCCCUAGGGUUGUAAAGCUCUUUCACCGGUGAAGAUAAUGACGGUAACCGGAGAAGAAGCCCCGGCUAACUUCGUGCCAGCCGCCGCCGUAAAAC
rnacentral:rRNA from 1 species